rnacentral:rRNA from 1 species
GGCGGACGGGUGAGUAAUACUUAGGAAUCUGCCCAUUAGUGGGGGACAACUCGGGGAAGCUCGAGCUAAUACCGCAUACGCCCUACGGGGGAAAGCGGGGGAUCUUCGGACCUCGCGCUAAUGGAUGAGCCUAAGUCGGAUUAGCUUGUUGGUGAGGUAAAGGCUCACCAAGGCGACGAUCCGUAGCUGGUCUGAGAGGACGAUCAGCCACACUGGGACUGAGACACGGCCCAG